rnacentral:rRNA from 1 species
GGGAACUGUGAGACAGGUGCUGCAUGGCUGUCGUCAGCUCGUGUUGUGAAAUGUUGGGUUAAGUCCCGCAACGAGCGCAACCCUUAUCCUUUGUUGCCAGCGGUCCGGCCGGGAACUCAAAGGAGACUGCCAGUGAUAAACUGGAGGAAGGUGGGGAUGACGUCAAGUCAUCAUGGCCCUUACGACCAGGGCUACACACGUGCUACAAUGGCGCAUACAAAGAGAAGCGACCUCGCGAGAGCAAGCGGACCUCAUAAAGUGCGUCGUAGUCCGGAUUGGAGUCUGCAACUCGACUCCAUGAAGUCGGAAUCGCUAGUAAUCGUGGAUCAGAAUGCCACGGUGAAUACGUUCCCGGGCCUUGUACACACCGCCCGUCACACCAUGGGAGUGGGUUGCAAAAGAAGUAGGUAGCUUAACCUUCGGGAGGGCGCUUACCACUUUGUGAUUCAUGACUGGGGUGAAGUCGUAACAAGGUAACCGUAGGGGAACCUGCGGUUGGAUCACCU